rnacentral:rRNA from 1 species
UACGGAGGAUGCAAGCGUUAUCCGGAUUUAUUGGGUUUAAAGGGUGCGUAGGCGGGACUGUAAGUCAGGGGUGAAAUACUGCAGCUUAACUGUAGCAUUGCCUUUGAAACUGCCGUUCUUGAGUACAGUCGAGGUAGGCGGAAUGUGGUGUGUAGCGGUGAAAUGCAUAGAUAUACCACAGAACGCCGAUUGCGAAGGCAGCUUACUAAGCUGUUACUGACGCUGAGGCACGAAAGCGUGGGGAUCAAACAGGAUUAGA